rnacentral:rRNA from 1 species
UACGUAGGGCGCAAGCGUUGUCCGGAAUUAUUGGGCGUAAAGAGCUCGUAGGCGGUCUGUUACGUCCGCUGUGAAAACCCAGGGCUUAACCCUGGGCUUGCAGUGGAUACGGGCAGACUAGAGGUAGGUAGGGGAGAAUGGAAUUCCCGGUGUAGCGGUGAAAUGCGCAGAUAUCGGGAGGAACACCGGUGGCGAAGGCGGUUCUCUGGGCCUUACCUGACGCUGAGGAGCGAAAGCGUGGGGAUCAAACAGG